UUGUCACCUUUUAAGGCCCUAAUGUGCAAAUAACUAUAAUGACACAUAACCAUAUACGUCUCCUCUCUGUUUAUAAUUCAGCACAUUUUAUUUUGAACAAAGCUAACCUAAUUGUAAAUUUUGUACUCGUACUGUUAUUGUGCUCGUAGUUCACAUUGAUUCCCAAUGAGUUCUUUUGUUUUUCCUCAGCGUAACGAAUAAUUUCAAGGACUUAUUUAUGUAUAAAUGUUAUUAAAUUCGUAAAAAUAAAACAGUAUCAUUGUGAUCUGAGAGGAGGAACACUUAUUUGACUAUUUAAAUUUGAGACGAUGUUUGCUAAGCUGGUCAUCUUAUUCGCCGUGUUGGCUUUCGCCAUGGCUAGACCUCAGCAACUAUACUCCGGAUAUUAUAAUACCUACUCAGGUGGAUAUCCAGGCUACUAUGGAGGCUACUCUGGUUAUUCAAAUCCAUUAGCAUACAGUGGCUACGGCGGCUAUAGUAGCUAUCCCUAUAACAGUUAUAAUGGUUACAACGGAUUUUACUAAGCAAAACCUUUAUACUAUGUCGGUUUAAGAAUAUUGAAUUUAUGAUUACAAACAAUUGAAUACCGCUUGA